UACGGUAUGGCCCCAACUUUGAGGUGGUGACAGUGUGUGUGUAUUGUUGUACUUUUGGUAAAGAAUCAAAUGUCUUGAGAGAAUUGUUUUAUUUAUUCAAAUGAAACUGUUGAUAAUUUUUUAUACACUUAAGUAUCACAAAGUCUAUCAAUCUUUUAUAUUAUAAUAUUAUACUGUCUGUGCAGCUGUGGAUUGUUCUCAACCAAAGGCUCCAGGAAAUGGAACUGUCCACUUCACAACAACUUACUACAACUCUGUGGCACUGUUCAAAUGUUAUUGUGGCUUCCAACUUAUUGGUCAGUCUUUGGCUAAAUGCAAGGCAGAUGGUCAGUGGAGUAGCCAGGCCCCCUUUUGUCAGAUUCAGUCCUGUAAGAAUCCAAGUUCCCUAACCAACGCUUCCAUUAUCAAGUAUCAGCAAGGUUUUCCUGUUGGUUCAAGUGUAACCUUUCACUGCAAUAGGACAGGAUAUACCCUGUCAGAUUAUUCAUCCAUACAAUGCCUGGCAACAAAAGUUUCUAAAGAGUCAAUACUACAGCCAUUGGCUACAUUGACCCAUGAAGUUUAUAUGGAGCUUGGUACUCAUCUGAUCUCUACAUGUCGUGAUGCUUGUGCAGAGAAAUUGCAAGAACUUGUUUUAAUCCAGCUCCAGGAUGUGGUGGAUACAGCCACUGAGUAUGGUGUAUCUCCGGACAUCAUCCCUAGCACAACAUCUACU
rnacentral:sRNA from 1 species